rnacentral:rRNA from 1 species
UGUGCCUACAAUCCGUCAGAGCCCCUUUGUGGGGUGAUGGCGUGCCUUUUGAAGAAUGAGCCUGCGAGUCAGGGACAUGUCGCGAGGUUAACCCGAGCGGGGUAGCCGCAGCGAAAGCGAGUCUGAAUAGGGCGUAUCACGCGUAAGCGUGUGUAGUGGCGUGUUCUGGACCCGAAGCGGAGUGAUCUACCCAUGGCCAGGGUGAAGCGCGGGUAAGACCGCGUGGAGG